rnacentral:tRNA from 1 species
GUCAGAAUGGCCGAGUGGUCUAAGGCGCCAGACUCAAGUUCUGGUCUCCUGCUGGAGGCGUGGGUUCAAAUCCCACUUCUGACA